CUUUGGGAGGCCGAGGUGGGCGGAUCACGAGGUCAGGAGAUCGAGACCAUCCUGGCUAACACGGUGAAACCUCGUCUCUACUAAAAAUAAAAAUACAAAAAAUUAGCCGGGCGUGGUGGCGGGCGCCUGUAGUCCCAGCUACUCGGGAGGCUGAGGCAGGAGAAUGGCGUGAACCCGGGAGGCGGAGCUUGCAGUGAGCCGAGAUCGCGCCACUGCACUCCAGCCUGGGUGACAGAGCAAGACUCCGUCUCAAAAUAAACUAAAUUAAAUUAAAUUAAAACAAAAAAACAACCAGUCAAAUGAAGCUGCACUUCCUUAAUGUGUACAAUUUGAUGAGUAUGGACAUAGGCGUAAAUCCACGAUACCACCAUCACAAUCGAGAGAUGCCACGCCCAGAGAGAAGGAAUCUAGAGAGGCAGUCUGACCACAGCAGCCUUGCUGUGAAAGCUUUUUACAGUUUGGAUCUUCUGAGAACAUCAAAGAAAAACUGACCUUGCCAUCCACACUACAGCAAAACUUAAGGACCUUGAACUUUAGGUUUAUCAUCUCACAGCUGAGAAGGGUCCCUCCACACUCUUGGAACUGUACAUCCAUUGGAACCCUUAAGGUUUUAAAUGCUUGCCUGCAGCCAUCUCUAGAAUGGUCUCUCUUCAACUGGAAUGACAAGAGCUGAAAGAAAUCUGCAACCAGGCCAGGCACGGUGGCUCACACGUCUAAUCCCAGCACUUUGGGAGGCCAUGGUGGGUAGAUCAUGAGGUCAGGAGUUCAAGACCAGCAUGACCAACAUUGUGAAACCCCGUCUCUACUAAAAAUACAAAAAAAAUUAGCUGGGCGUGUGGCACGCACAUGUAAUCCCAGCUACUCAGGAGACUAAGGCAGGAGAAUCGCUUGAACUGGGGAGGUAGAUAUUGCAAUGAGCCGAAAUCACACCACUACACUCCUGCCUGGGCGACAAGAGCGAGACUUCGUUUCAAAAAAAAAAAAGAAAGAAAGAAAAAGAAAUCUGCAACAUAACCUAUGAAUGAUGUGCUGAGAUGGGAAACCCAAAAUGAUGGUAAAUCAGAGUGGCACUAAGGCCAUUGUCUCACCAUGGCAACCCAAAAAACAGCAGUCACAGUCUAGGUCUUUCCAGAAAGUAAAUGUAGAGCCCC
rnacentral:lncRNA from 10 species